rnacentral:lncRNA from 1 species
UCCGCGCCGCCGUCUUCGUUGCUCUUGGGUGGCCGCGGCGCCCGCUCCCUCUGAAUUCGCCGGGCAGGGAUACAGCCGCCCGGGGCCUCUUGCUCGUGCUUGGUUUUCCGGACCUUGCUUCCUAAAGGGUCUUUAGGGGUUCCCGGACUCCUCCGCCUGGGAGCCUCUAUCCGCCUGGGAGCCUCUAUGCGCCCCGCAAAGCCCCCGGCAGAGCCGAGGGGAGGCUUCAUUGGCGACCUGGUGGGGCCUCGCGGCCCUGCUCCCUGACGUCAGCGCCGCCGCGGUGAUUUAACAGCUUUUGUUUUGGGCAGAAGAACCUAUGGGCACAAAAAGCAGGAACGAGUAGCGGUGGCUGAAGAACGAGCAGGAGCUUGAAUUUCAGUUUUCUUAUGAGGAAUUUUCCAGAAAAGAUAUCUUCACUGUGAAAUAACUAAAUAAAUGCCCACUCAGUACAGUCACUGUCUCCCUUUUGGAACUUGAUGGCACCUUAAGCCCAGGUUUGCCUCCACUCUAGAAACUCAUCAGAGUGAUGCCCUUCUCAAAUGGGGGAGGUCCCAAAGCGGAUAUCCUGGCAGUGUGAAAGGCCGGCUAAAGGUUUGUGCCAAGAGGAUCUGUGGAAUGCAUCUCCUACAGCUGGUGCUGCUGAGUAACCACUCUGAUCUGGCAUCUUCUUUGAUCAAGUUACAGAGCAGAGUUUCCAGGGCUGGGGAUUGAAGUCCUGCCUCCUCCCUUUGUCUCUGGUUGUCCUCGGUAAUGUUUUUCCCUCAAGACAAAAAUACCUGCUACAUGCUUCCUUCUGUAUGAAUACAUGAGACCUACCUUCAUUCAUGUUUCCUCUAUGAAGCUUUCCCUGCACUCCAAACACAGAGCUGAGACUUCCACCUAAUGUAGAAAGCUAGCACGAGCCGGCGCUGACAGAUGGAAGACUUGAGAUGUUACAAGAUUAUAUAUGGAAACACAAAAGGAGUGGAGUUGCUGGGUCAUAUGGCAAUUCAUUUGAGGAACUGAGAAGCUUAUUCCAUGGAGGCUGAACUGUUUUAUAUUCCCACCAGCAACGUGAGAAUUCCUCAAGGAAUGCCAAGUACAUCCUAAAGAAUGUCCUACUACAUUUGUCUGAAAAACAGAGAUGAAGAUUUAGACUCUUGACUAGGACUGGGUUCCAACACCCGUACCAGUAUCAUUAAAAGUACUUAUUAAGCACUCACAUUUAAUAUGUUAUAAAGCAUGUUUAAAUGGAUAACAUUUGGUUAAUUUUCCAAUUUAAACAAGACAACAUUAAAAAGUACACAUUUAACAAUACUAUAUGUUUUUAAGAAGCACUUGCAAUAAUAUACUGAAAGCAUUUUGUAUUUUGUAUAGUACAAAUGUUUCUCAGUCAAGUUUUCUGAUGGUCACAUUAAGAGGUACAAGAUAUCUGGAAGCACCAUAAGUAAAUCCACAAAUAAUUAAAUCUGCCUAAUGGAGCAAUUUGCAGAUUAAAAUAUAGAACAAUUUUCAUAUCUUUGGUUUUUUUUGUAUUAAAUACCAAUCACUAUAACUGACAGCUAUCAAACAGGAAAAAAAACAGAAAAAAAAACUAAAAAAAACAUGAAAUGUGCGCGUUGGGUUUGAGGAACAAGUCAUUCAAAUAAAUGACAGGAUGUCAAAAAGUUCUUAUCAGACUUCUAUCCCAGAACCCAACUGAGUAUUUUUUUCCUUUUUCUUUCUGCUUUUCCUCUUUCCUUUAUCCUCCCCUAUAUCCUUCCCUUUUCAUCUCUGUCCUUAGAAUGCCUUAUAUUUCCAUAUUAGUUUAUGGUUCUCAAAUUGCUUUCAUAUGCCAUUAAUAAAAACAACUACUUUCUGAAGUAAGUAGGGUUACUACUCUUAAUAUUGUUUUAUUAAUGAGCACGACAGAGGGGAGGCAAUUUCCAAAAGAUUUUAGAGAUGGCAUGAUAUGGAAUUAAGUAAUUUAUUAGAUUUACCAAAUAAAAAUUUACAUUAUAGAAACUUUAAAAUACUGUUUUUAAAUAAAGAACACUAUUUACAUGGUUAAAAAUAUACAUGCACUAAGAACAAAUAUAUAAUGAAGAGUACAGUCUCUUUUCCUUACCACCCAUUCCCUGAAGACCUCUGUUCUAUUUCUUAGACAUACUGUUAAACAUUUUUCAGUAUCUUCCCAUAAAUGUUCUAUGCAUAUGCAAGCACACACAAUCUUUUAAAGCAAAUGAUAACUUACUCCUCUACAUCUUGUUCAUUUUUCUUUUAUCAGUGCACAUAUAUGCACUGUAUUUACCUUACGGAUCUCCAACUGUGAGCUUUAGGUUGUUUCUAGUUUCUUGCUUUUACUAGCAAUAAACACUCUUUUGCACUUGAAUGAGUUUCUCUGUAGAAUUAUUUCUAGAAGUGGAACUGCUAAGUCAAAGAACAUGUACACUUUUAAUUUUGAUAAAUACUUCCAAACUGAUUUCUGAACCAAUUUAUACUCCUACCAACUGUCUUGGAGGGGGCUUGUUUUCUCAUACCCUCACUAAUACCAGCUAUUAUCAAAUUUUGUAGUUUUUGCCAAUCUAAAAGGUGAAAAUAUUUUAUCUUGCAUGAAUAAAGUUGAAUAUUUUUUCUUUUUUUCCCUUAAUCGUUUGCAUUUCUUCUACUGGGUUGUCUUUUUAACUGAUGCAUAAGAGCUUUUUAAAUUUUCUCUUUUUUAAGAGUUAGGAUCUUGCUGUGUGGCUUAACUCUCAAACUCUUGGGCUCUAGCAGUCCUCCCACCUUAGCCUCCCGAGUAGCUGGGACUACAGGCAUGUGCUGCUGUGUGCAGCAGAUGUGUACAAAAGAGCUUUAAAGGUAGUACUGAAAACAGUUCCUUUAUAGUUCUAUGUUGAAAAUAAUUUCUUCCCACUUUUUUAUUGUCUUAAUUUACAGAUUUUUUGCUGUGCAGUAGGUUUUAUGUUGUCAAAUGUAUUAAUCUUUUAACCUAGGUUUUAAGUUAAAAUGCUUUCCCCAUGCUAAGAUUUUUAAAAAGAAAAACUCUUCCAUGUUUCCUAAUAUUUAUACUGUUUCAAAUUUUUAUGUUCAAAUCUUUGAUCCAUCUGAAAUUCACUUUGGUGUAAGGAAUAAGGAAGCAUUCUAAAUAGAUGUCAUACACAUCAACAAAUAUAUAUAUAUAGCCCCCACCCAAAUGUGGAUGUAAACUGUUUCUACAUCAUUAUUGAAUAAUCCAUCCUCUCACCCACUGAUCUGAAAUCUCACUGUUGCUAUAUACUAUGGUCCUAUGUGGAUUAGCAUCUACGCCUGGAUUCUCUAUUCGCUCCUCUGACUAUUCCUGGCCCAGUAACUUGUCUGACAAGUUCAGUUUUACAGUAUGUUUUGUUCUCUAGUAAAGCAGCACACCCUUGCUCUCCCAACUCUUCCUUUUCAGUUUUCUUGGCUAUUCUUGAGGGUUUUUUUCCAGAUAAACUUCAAUAAACGUGUAUCAAGGUCCAAAAUGAACGCUGGUAGGUUUUUUUUUUUUUCGAGUUGGGGUCUCACUCUGUCGCCUAGGCUGGAGUGCAGUGGCGUGGAUCUCUGCUCACUGCAAGCUCCGCCUCCCGGGUUCAUGCCAUUCUCCUGACUCAGCCUCCGGAGUAGCGGGGACUACAGGCGCACGCCACCAGGCCCGGCUAAUUUUUUUUUUUGUAUUUUUAGUAGAGACGGGGUUUCACCGCGUUAGCCAGAAUGGUUUCUAUCUCCUGACCUCAUGAUCCGCCCACCUCGGCCUCCCAAAGUGCUGGGAUUACAGGCGUGAGCCACUGUGCCUGGCCAAACGCUGGUAGGUUUUGAGUGAGACCACAUUACAUUUAAAUAUAUUUACAAUGUUUUCUGCUCUAUUCUUUAGUAGACUUUUCCUCACGUGGUCCUACGCAUUUCUUUCUAAGUUUAUUUUCAUAUAGCCUAUCCCUGUCUACAAUUUAAAUUGGGAUCUUCUAUAUUCUAGUUAUUAUUUGUAAAUAAGAAAACUACUGACUUUUUUCUAGUAUAUUUUCUCAGAAUAGGAUUUUCUAUUUUUCUAUAAAAUGACCAAUGUUAUGAAGCUUCGUAAGUUUUGUCAAAGUGAUACACACAUACAGCAAAAAAUCAAAUAGUACAGAAGUAUAAAAGCAACAACCUCUGCCUUGCCCCUUCUCCACCUUCAGGUCCCCUUCCCAGAUACAAUAAUUUUUAGCUUUUUAUUUUUAAUUAUUCUGGUUGUUACCUACAUAACUCUGGGCAAUAUGGAAAAGUUAUUGAUUUUGUAUAUUAAUUUCAUAAUCAGUUACCUUGAUGAAUUCUCUUGUUUCUAGUAGUUUUUCUUUAGGGUUUUAAAGGGAUACAAUCAUACCAUUUGCAGUUAGUAACCAUUUUAUCUCCUCUUAUUUCCAACUUCGUACUGUUUUCUCUUGUCUAAUUUGUUUUUAAUUGGUGGGUACUUCUAGAACAAGGUUAAAUAAAAGUGGUGUUGGUGGGCGUCCUUAUUUCUGAUAUUAAUGGGAAUGAGUAUAAUGUAUAAAUAUAUAACCAUGAUUUUGGUUUUUUUCCAAGUUUUUAUCAGUAAUGAUUGCUGAGUUUUAUCAAAAUUUUUUUGGCAUCCAUUGAGAGGAUUAUAUAUUACUCUUUGACACAUUAAUGUGGUUAAUUAAAGUAACCAACUUAUUAACCUUGAAAUAGUCUUAGUUAAAUAAACCCUACUUGUCAAUGCUAUAUCAUUAUUUUAAUAUUGUACUGAACAUUUUACAAAGGUGUUUCACCAUAAGGCAUAUUGAUCUGUAAUUUUUUUUUUUCUGUUGAACUUGCUAUUGUCAGGUUUUGGUGUAUUAUGUUGGUUUUGGAGAAUAAAUUUAAAAGUUUCCUUUAUGUUAUCUAUACAUUGCCUGAAAAGAGUUUAAAUAGCAUUGAAAAUGAUCUCUUCUUUGAAGAUUUAACCAAUUUCACCUGUAAAUCUGUCUGUGCUUUGUAAUUUUGGUGAUACUGUUGACUCAAAUUCCAAAAGCAGUAAAUGCAGUGUUUUAUAUUUUUCUAUUAAAAAUGUAAAAUCAAAUUAUAUU